GGGAGAUAGAGUAAGGGAGAUUAACCCCAUAUGCCAGCGAAGAAAAGUGAUGUGUGACAUACUGUAAUGAGCACUCAGCUGAUAAUUGUCAUACCAACAGUAAUAUAAGUCAACAACAAUCAAAGCAAAUAAAACCAAACAUUAAUAAACGAGAGGCGUUUUGCUUGUUGUAGGUAUAUGCACAGGUGGGGGUGUUCAGACAACAGCAGUGGAUGCUGGGUUUUCCUGGCUGGCGUCCGGCAUGAACAGACAAACCCUGGCAGGAUCCCAGUCUGUAUGCCGCAAGGGUGCUCCUGACUGCUGUUGUUCUCCGGUGCACGUAGACAGCCCCAGUAUCUGCAGAGUUCGGCCACUUCCGAGGCAUCAGUAAUUUUUAAAGUCCCAGUAUCGCGGGAACCCGGCAGACUCCUGGGAGAGCCCCAUUUGUAUGGUAUCCGGUGCUCUAUUAGCUCAGCAGUUAAGGGUCGCAUGGACCUCCGCCAGUCCAUUGUGGCUUUGGACAGGUCUGGGUAGAAGGCUAGUGAAUGUUCCUCGAAGCGGGAAGGAUACUUGUGACAAACCGUUGAUGUCCUCUUUAAACUUAUUAAUGUCAGCAGCUAUAUUGCGUCGGAGCUCAGCUAAAAGAGUCUUUAAAGUACCUUCUCUCACCGGUGGAUCGCCAGAUUUUAUUAGAGGUAAGUCUACUUUGCAGGUGUUUCCUGCUCCCGUAUGUCGACAAGGGCUGACUCAUUGGACGACCUGGAGGGCCCGCCAGAGAGAGGCGCCAUGUCAGGCGUCAUGGGAUUCAUCGGUCUCCAUAAAAGAUUGCCAAUAUCGGUGGUUGCCAAUAUCUGCCCUAUAUUGCUUGUUGUUGCAUCCUAUCAUAUGAGGUAGGGAAUGCUAACACUUUGGGGGAAGUAUCGCUGGAAAAUCAGAUAGUAGUGUUAGAUAUUUCUCCUGCUGCUUCGGAGCACCAUCAAAACACAUCCAGUCAGUAUGGCUUAAC